UUUGAGAUAACCCUAACCCUCUUAUUAUAAAACGCGGUAUCAAAUAAGUAUCGGCUUUUGUACUACCUUUAAUCCACCUUUAAGUACGACCUUGAAAAAACGUUAUUACAAAACGCAGUUUAUCGCAAGUCCUAUUACUAUCUGUAGUACAAAAGAUAAACCAUCGAGCCCCCUAGUUUAACUGCAGUACUUAGUCGACAAACGUCAAAUUCCGACAUUAUUUACUUUUGAGGUUAUUUGUUUUGUGAUGAAAAAAACGAAAGUGGAUAUAAAUAUGUGUGAUUUGGAAUACUUGGAUGUGUUAGAAUACUAUUGAGAGUGUCCGGGGACCCAACACAAUGCGUCAUCGACAAAAUCUCUUCAAAUUACCUGACGACAAUUUUCGAUAUAAAUAUCGAUUUACGUUUUUCGAAAUAAUAGUCAAUUGAAUGCAUGAUGAUAAUCCAGGAUGAUGAUAUGAUGCUCAACUGGGCUCGCCAUAAAAUUCAAGACUAUUUUGGCGUUUUGCACGCCGUAUCUCUGCCAGUAAUAUGCAAUGUUUGUAAAAGACUGGAAGCUUGCUAAAAUGUACAAAAAUGCCUAGAUGAGAAAGGGAACAAGAUUGUGUGAUGAAGAACAGUGUCCAACAUGUAUCAGUGCAUUUGACUGUAUAAAUAGACAUCGGAAUAAAAUAUAAUUUUCUACUUUUA